CCGUGACACUCAAAGCAAUGCUGGCACCAAAACAGUAACAGCACAAACUGCUGGCCAAGCGCCUAAUGUGCCGCUGAGCUGAAUUCUCACUGCAGCUCCAACAGCACAGAGCAGCUGUGGCCAAACACAGAGAUGGGCAGUUAUCAAACGUGGUGAAAGGAUGAGAACUGAGGGAGUCUGGGCUGUAAAAAACAAAACCCACGUGUACAUAAACUCCGACAAGAAGAGAAGUUGCUACUGCAGUCGUUGUUCACUGAGGCAGUAUCUA
rnacentral:lncRNA from 1 species